CCCUACGGGCGGCUGCAGUGGGGAAUAUUGGACAAUGGGGGCAACCCUGAUCCAGCCAUGCCGCGUGAGUGAUGAAGGCCCUAGGGUUGUAAAGCUCUUUCGGUGGGGAAGAUAAUGACGGUACCCACAGAAGAAGCCCCGGCUAACUUCGUGCCAGCAGCCGCGGUAAUACGAAGGGGGCUAGCGUUGCUCGGAAUCACUGGGCGUAAAGCGCACGUAGGCGGCUUUCUAAGUCAGGGGUGAAAUCCCGGAGCUCAACUCCGGAACUGCCUUUGAUACUGGGAGGCUCGAGUCCGGGAGAGGUGAGUGGAACUGCGAGUGUAGAGGUGAAAUUCGUAGAUAUUCGCAAGAACACCAGUGGCGAAGGCGGCUCACUGGCCCGGUACUGACGCUGAGGUGCGAAAGCGUGGGGAGCAAACAGGAUUAGAUACCCCUGUAGUC
rnacentral:rRNA from 1 species